AAUGAACGUUGGCGGCGUGGAUUAGGCAUGCGAGUCGUGCGAGAACCGUAGCAAUACGGGGACAGCGGCGAAAGGGAGAGGAACACGUGGAUACCUACCCUCAGGUUCAGGAUAGCUAUGGGAAACUAUAGGUAAUACUGAAUAAUAUCUCCGGAUCAAAGGUGUGAUUCCGCCGGAGGAGGGGUCCGCGUCCUAUUAGCUAGUUGGUGAGGUAAUGGCUCACCAAGGCGAAGAUGGGUACGGGAUGUGAGAACAUGAUCCCGCUCAUUGGGACUGAGACACUGCCCAGACACCUACGGGUGGCUGCAGUCGAGAAUCUUCGGCAAUGGGGGAAACCCUGACCGAGCGACGCCGCGUGUGAGAUGAAGGCCUCGGUUGUAAUCACUGUCGUAGAGGAGGAAGUGUAGGUGGGUUCGUCCCACUUAUUU
rnacentral:rRNA from 1 species